CUUAUUUAUGAGCCUGAGCUAGAUUCUUUUAGAGAGGCGUCCUUACAGGCUGCAUCAACCCCCCUCCCUCUCCCUCUCCCUCUCCCUCUCCCCCCCCCCCCCCUCUCUCUCUCUCUCUCUCUCUCUCUCUCUCUCUCUCUCUCUCUCUCUCUCUCUUCCUCCCUCCCUCCCUCUCUCCCUCUCUCUCUCUCUCUCUUCCUCCCUCCCUCCCUCUCUCCCUCUCUCCCUCCCUCCCUCCCUCUUCCCCCCUUCCAACUGGCGCACUACCACACUAUGAAAGCAAUGGAACUCCAGACCUCGGGCGGAGACACAUUGGCAGUGCUCACCGUAUGAAGCAAAUGUAACAUAAGAGGAAGCACCCAGGCUGAGAGGGAGGAGGAGAGACGUCCCCAGAAGCCACGACUUUGGAGGGCUGCAGCGGCAGAGGAGCUGGAAAACAGUGAGGCGGCGACUUCUCUGAGACAAGACAGAACCUACACAGUGCUUGCCUCCGGCCCCUGGGGGUGCUAUCAUUGCAUCUAAGAUUUAAGAAGAACCUUUCACAAGUAAGGAUGUGACUCAGUAGAAUGCCCGCCUAGAGUGCCCAGAUCUCCAAAUAUGGGCUCUGAGAGGAAAGCUCUGCAAAAUGUCAGCUGUUAAGAGGCCGAAGAGAAAGAAAGGCGGGCUUCGUGCUCGGGCCGGACUAGAACGCGGGUCCUGGCAGGUGCACUGAACACAGAGCAGAGGCACCCGCAGGCUGACCCAACUUUAUGCGAAGUGUUGCUGGCACACAAGUGAACCAGCAAAGAGAGAGAUGAGAAGCACCCAAACUGAGGGUCUUUAACAGUUUGUCAGGGGGUGCUGGUGUGACAGACACAGUGUGCUCGGCCAAGGAUUUGCAAAGAAGAACAUCAUUGCUGGCCUUGGGAGCUCCCUGCAGAAGGGGGUACUAGAGUCUGAGGGAUGGGGGCCGGCAGGAUAAAUCUCACUUCUAAUCCAAUGCACAGCAAUGUCUUGUGCCAAGGAAAGGAAGCCCCUGGUGCCACUGCGGACAUCCGUAUAAAUCACAGACAGGCUUUAUUCCCGAGCGGCGUGGGGCUGUGCAGAUUGGAGCGACGUCGCACACUCUCAUUGGGCGAUGCUUCAUUA
rnacentral:lncRNA from 1 species